CCCAAAGACUAUUGWUGYUGAAUGGCCGCGGUAUUUUAACUGUGCUAAGGUAGCAUAAUCACUUGUCUUUUAAUUAAAGGCUAGAAUGAAUGGUUGGACGAGAUGCAAGCUUUCUUUAAUUUAAUUAAUGAAUUUAAUUUUUUAGUCAAAAAGCUAAAAUUUAUUUGAGGGACGAGAAGACCCUAUAGAUCUUUAUAUUUAUAGCUUUUAUUUAUUUUAGGGUAUUAGUUAUUUUGAUAGUUAUAUUUAUUUGGUUGGGGUGACUAUGGAAUUUAAAUUAACUUCUGUUUUAGUUUUUCAUUAAUUAGUGUUAUGUUGAUCCAAUUUUAUUGAUUAAAAGAUUAAGUUACCUUAGGGAUAACAGCGUAAUUUUUUCGGAGAGCUCUUAUCGAUGAAGGAGUUUGCGACCUCGAUGUUGGAUUAAAAUAAGUUUAGGGUGUAGUAGUUCUAUAACUAGGUCUGUUCGACCUUUAAUAUUUUACA
rnacentral:rRNA from 1 species